UAUUGGAUUUUCUCACAACAUCAUGAGAAGGGGACAACAAUUUUUAAGCCAGCCCUGAAAAGCACCUAGUACCAUAGGCAUUGACUCCAGGGCUGGAGCACCCACAGAAAAAAAGAAACAAGGAAGCAGACUGCUGUCAGAGAAAAUAACCCCAAUGGAAGAGUGAAGAAUAGAGGAGGAACUGAGCCGUACAAAAGAUGCAAUAUUGGUGUCAAGAG